AGAGUUUGAUCCUGGCUCAGGAUGAACGUUGGCGGCGUGCCUAAUACAUGCAAGUCGAACGAAGACUGUAGUAAUACUGUCUUAGUGGCGAACGGGUGAGUAACGCGUGGGUGACCUGCCCCGAAGUGUGGGAUAACAGUCCGAAAGGAUUGCUAAUACUGCAUAAUAUCCAAGAGAUUAGAUGCUUUUGGAUUAAAGGAGUAAUUCGCUUCGGGAGGGGCCCGCGUCCCAUCAGCUAGUUGGUAAGGUAAUGGCUUACCAAGGCGAUGACGGGUAGGGGACCUGAGAGGGAGGCCCCCCACAAUGGAACUGAAACACGGUCCAUACACCUACGGGUGGCAGCAGUAGGGAAUAUUAGUAAUGGGCGAAAGCCUGAACUAGCAACGCCGCGUGUGCGAAGAAGGCCUUCGGGUCGUAAAGCACUUUUUGAGAGGAUGAGGAAGGACGGUACUCUCAGAAUAAGUCUCGGCUAACUACGUGCCAGCAGCCGCGGUAACACGUAGGAGGCAAACGUUAUCCGGAUUUACUGGGCGUAAAGCGC
rnacentral:rRNA from 1 species